UACGGGGGGGGCAAGCGUUGUUCGGAAUUACUGGGCGUAAAGGGCUCGUAGGCGGCCAACUAAGUCGGAUGUGAAAUCCCCAGGCUCAACCUGGGAACUGCAUCCGAUACUGGAUGGCUUGAAUUCGGGAGAGGGAUGCAGAAUUCCAGGUGUAGCGGUGAAAUGCGUAGAUAGUCUGGAGGAAUACCGGUGGCGAAGGCGGCAUCCUGGACCGACAUUGACGCUGAGGAGCGAAAGCCAGGGGAGCAAACGGG
rnacentral:rRNA from 1 species